AGCGAACGCUGGCGGCAGGCUUAACACAUGCAAGUCGAGCGGGCACUUUCGGGUGUCAGCGGCGGACGGGUGAGUAACGCGUGGGAACGUGCCCUCUGGUUCGGAAUAACUCAGGGAAACUUGAGCUAAUACCGGAUACGCCCUUUUGGGGAAAGGCUUGCUGCCGGAGGAUCGGCCCGCGUCUGAUUAGCUAGUUGGUGAGGUAACGGCUCACCAAGGCUACGAUCAGUAGCUGGUCUGAGAGGAUGAUCAGCCACACUGGGACUGAGACACGGCCCAGACUCCUACGGGAGGCAGCAGUGGGGAAUAUUGGACAAUGGGCGCAAGCCUGAUCCAGCCAUGCCGCGUGAGUGAUGAAGGCCUUAGGGUUGUAAAGCUCUUUUAUCCGGGACGAUAAUGACGGUACCGGAGGAAUAAGCCCCGGCUAACUUCGUG
rnacentral:rRNA from 1 species